ensembl:snoRNA
GCAUGGGUUUGGGUUUAUGGCAGGCCCGUCCCCCCGAGCCUCUCAUAGUGUCCCGUGCCAGAGCAAACUGUAGCCCAGAACCAUUGCAUGUCCUUGUCCAUAGGCCUUGGCACUGAAGUGGGUCGCACAGUG